ensembl:snoRNA SNORD97 small nucleolar RNA, C/D box 97
GUGCCCAGUGAUUAUAAAAAAGACGCGUUAUUCUGAGGGACUCCACCUGCUACUCAUUCUAUCUCUUUCUUUACCCUCUCCCCUCAAUUUUCUUUCUUUCUCUGUUAAGGUAGCAGGUCCGUUGACUGUGAUUAUGAGAUAUGAGGGCAU